UACAGAGGGUGCAAGCGUUAUUCGGAAUUACUGGGCGUAAAGCGCAUGUAGGCGGUUUAGUAAGUCUGGUGUGAAAUCCCUCGACUCAAUCGGGGAAGUGCAUUGGAUACUGCUAGACUAGAGUAUGGGAGAGGUGAGUGGAAUUCCAGGUGUAGAGGUGAAAUUCGUAGAUAUCUGGAGGAACAACAGAGGCGAAGGCGGCUCACUGGACCAUUACUGACGCUGAGAUGCGAAAGCGUGGGGAGCAAACAGG
rnacentral:rRNA from 1 species